UGCACUGAGCCUUAUAGGCCAAGAGCUAUCCUGUCAGCUGCUUAAGGACUUUUGAGGAAUGAAGAGACUGGAAGACAUGGGAUGGAAGUCAUUAAUCUACCAGAGUCAAACCAGAAACUCAGAAAUAUUUCUCUGCUUCAGUUACUAUGUGGGUACAUCAGAUGUGGAGACAGCUGUCAAACGCAGCUUGGCACCAAGCCUCGGAGAGGUUCUGCCCCCUGAGGCUCGAGGCCUUCCCCAUGUCUCAGGUGGUGGCCAGGCUGCCUGUCUGGACAAACCUUUCAAGCCUGCUGCCCCAAGAGGAGGUUUCCACUUGAAUAAGCUGGGUGUGGGAGCACUCGCAUGAAACCAGCUCUGUUCACUCCUACUUCCCCCUGGCCUGUGUCUCCAAGGCCCUAGUUUUCUAUUAAACAGGCCUGAGCAGAUUUUUAUAGGGUCAUCCCUCCCUUCCUUUUAGAACUAUUCUACGGAUUGUUUGAUGCCUCACUGGAGUCUUUAAGUCACUCUGCCCUUAAAAUCAUUAGGUUUGCUAAUAACAGGGUCAGCCUGGUGUCUAGGCCCAAAAGCCAGCGGCCAGGCCCCAUGGUUUCCUAGGCCCGUAACCCCAGUCUGCUUCUUCCAGUGGGUGGGCAAAAACCUGAAAUUCUACCCACUCCCCCUUUUUUCUUUCUUUCUUUUAUUUAACUUAAGGCUUUUUAUUCACAUUAAAAAGUAAAUCUUCCCAAGAAGGUUGACACUUUACCCGCAUAAUCAGCUUUUUACACCUCAGGCUGAGGGAAGGACCUGAUACCCGGUUUUGAUAAGAAUUUGGGGCAAAGAUAAUAAGGGCAGGAGUUAUAGAAUAAUAAUGUGUCAGGAGAUUAGAAUUCUGGAGACCCCAGAUGUCCAGAGGGAGCAGUCAGGUCCAGGCUUUUCUCAGAUGAGGAGUGGAGAUUAGGGUGAGGGAGGCCUCUGUGGAGGAAGAGGAACUCAUAAUAGUGGUAAUAGUUGGUGACAAAGGUGGACUAGGCCUGCCUCAAGGACACUUGGGUUCUCAUCCCCCUUUAGUAUAAAUUGGUGGAAUUUCUGGGGAAGAGACUUCGAGGUCCCUCUCUCCAUUCCCUUCCAUUGGGUCUUGGUCUUUAGUCCAACUUGUAGAGUCCGAGGAGUUCUAUGAAUCCCACAUCUUGAUGCCCACAUGGGGUCAGCAUCAGAAUUAGGCCUUCUACUCAGGAUGGGGAAUGCUCUCCACCUCCAGAGAAAGAACUAUUGAUGUCUUUCACAUCAGUGUAUUUAGGGGGUUAUGGUUAGGUAUGAGUUUGCUUUACAAUGACCAAUAUGGAAGUAUGUUUUACAUGAGAAUUAAAAAAAAAAAAGAAUUGGACCACCUGACUAAGAUGACCAGCAUUGUUUCUACUAAGGGUCAAAUGUUUCUACUAAAGGCACAAAUGCCUGGGAUAAAAAUUCAAGAAAAAAAAAUAAUCUCUGCCCUCAAGGAACUCACAAUCUAAUGGGGGGAAGCAGAGACAAGAAGUAAAUGAAUAUGUUCAAACAAGCUUACCUGCAGGAUAAAGAGGCAGAAAUAAUUAACCGAGGGAAACCAGUCUGGCACAGUUUAUCUGGAUAAAAGUAGGAUGAAUUUGCUUCUGAUUUUCUGUCCCUAGAGAAUCCAACAAUUACACCAGAGCCAUUCCUAUUCCUGGACACUGAUUAUUUUAGUAGAAUUUGAAUGCAUCCAACCCCUCCUGACUUGCUGAGGGACAACAAAGAGAACUUCCCUCAGUGGGCAUUGUAGCACCUGGGUUUAUGCUCAGACUCUCUGGCCUGCAGAGUGCUGCAAUUUCCUCACACAGGAGAGAUGAGGGGUUUCCCUGGAGGGAAGAGAAAGGCACACAGCAAGAAUCCUGGGGAAAAAAAACCAUACACACACACACAAAAAAAAAACUUCUACUUUGAAAUGUGCUAGGCUUGCCUUGGUUUAUAAUCUUGAUGAGAGACCACAGAUCCUCUUCUAACUCGAAGAGACUGAGAAUUUAAACAUCCACAGAACAAAGUUUGGGGAGAAAAAAGUACAUCCAGGUGAGGUCCAUUAGCAGUGAAGUAUGGAAGCUUGGGACACGAGGGGCCUAGUAGGUACUCAAGGUGAAAUUGCCUAGAGUUCAACAGAUAUGUACACCAUUGAGAAAUAAAUAGACUUUCUGUAGAAAUGACCA
rnacentral:lncRNA from 1 species